rnacentral:rRNA from 1 species
GACAGAGGCCUCAAGCGUUAGGCGGAAUCACUGGGCUUAAAGCGUGUGUAGGCGGACUUCUAAGUGCCUUGUGAAAUCCCACGGCUCAACCGUGGAACUGCUGGGCAUACUGGGAGUCUUGGGCCAUUCAGGGGCAACUGGAACAAGCGGUGGAGCGGUGAAAUGCGUAGAUAUCGCUUGGAACGCCGAAGGUGAAAACAGGUUGCUGGGGGAUGUGCCGACGCUGA